rnacentral:rRNA from 1 species
GAGUUUGAUCAUGGCUCAGGACGAACGCUGGCGGCGCGCCUAACACAUGCAAGUCGAACGGAGUUGUGUUGAAAGCUUGCUGGAAAUACAACUUAGUGGCGGACGGGUGAGUAACACGUGAGUAACCUGCCUUUCAGAGUGGAAUAACGUUUGGAAACGAACGCUAAUACCGCAUAACAUGAAGGAACGGCAUCGUUCUUUCAUCGGAAAUUUAUCGCUGAGAGAUGGGCUCGCGGCCGAUUAGGUAGUUGGU